rnacentral:rRNA from 1 species
GUGAGGAAUAUUGGUCAAUGGACGGAAGUCUGAACCAGCCAUGCCGCGUGCAGGAAUAAGGUCCUAUGGAUUGUAAACUGCUUUUAUUCGGGAAUAAACCUCUUUACGUGUAGGGAGCUGAAGGUACCGAAGGAAUAAGCACCGGCUACCUCCGUGCCAGCAGCCGCGGUAAUACGGAGGGUGCAAGCGUUAUCCGGAAUCAUUGGGUUUAAAGGGUCCGCAGGCGGGCUAUCAAGUCAGAGGUGAAAUCCCACAGCUUAACUGUGGAACUGCCUGUGAAACUGAUGGUCUUGAAUUAAGUGGGCGUUGGCGGAAUAUGACAUGUAGCGGUGAAAUGCAUAGAUAUGUCAUGGAACACCGAAAGCGAAGGCAGCUAACGAUACUUAUAUUGACGCUCAUGGACGAAAGCGUGGGUAGCGAACAGGAUUAGAAACCCGAGUAGUCC